AGGGUAGAUAACGACAUACAUUUUCCCCCUCGUCAUGAGCAUCCCAAUGAUUCCUUGAAGGAACCGGAAAAAAAGAUUUAUUUAGGCUACUCGACAUCUAGACUAUGCAUCCCCUUUCCUUAGGCAAUGACCCAUGAUUCCCUCCCCCACUACUACAAAAAGUGGAAUAAGAAACGCAAGAGACAAAACGGUUAACAUAGAUAAGCGUUUUGUAAAACAAAAUAGAACAUUUUCCUUUCCCAACCGUUCUAUAUGUUGAAAAAUAUAGAACAGUUUGCUUAUCCAAGCGUUCUCUAUUUAUUUAUCUGAAAAAAAAAAAUUAUUAAAAAAAAAGUUAAUAUAGAACGGUGUUUCACAACAACCGUUGUGCGUCUUUUACCUUUAACUUACUACUGUAUUACUUCCGUCUAAUAAAUGGUUCUCUUUUCUAGUUUUCUUCCGUUUGCCAAAAAAUUUGUCUAAUAUAAGAUGCUAUUACUCUUUUCCUUUAAAAACAUAAUUUUUAAUCUUCAAAAUUUUUAAUCUUCAAUUUUUCUCACGUUCGUAGUUUUCUAUUUGAUUAAAUCCUAAAUUCCCAUUUUCGUUGCUCUUAUAAGGAAAUGGAAAAUUAGGGUUCGAACAAAAACACAUAUCUGGAGAAGGCUUCAAAGUUCGGCCAUGUCCACGGCGACCUGAUUGGAAGGAGGUAGUCAACUUCAUAGGACUUGAGGUGGUCACCAUUGACAGAUGAUAAACGCUAUGCUUUAACUCCACUAAGAAGUUUUAACGUAUGAUUAUUUUCCUUUUUUUUUGUAAUUUUACUUUUAAUUAAAUUUGGGAUUGUUUUUUAUUAUUUACAUAUUAACUUUUUUGUCUUCUGCUUUUCGAUAUGGAAUGUUUGGGGAAUAAUCAAGAAGAUUUAGUUUAAUGGUGGAAACUUGAUUUUAUGGAUUUGAGUGAUAUUAGAAGUGAUAUUUUUCGAUUAGUUGUGUAAUUGUUGCUCAUAUUUUUGCAGGUUAAUAAAAUAAAGGUGAGAAGUCUUCAUAAAAAAGAUGAGAAGUCAAGUCUUAAAAAAUAAAGAUGAAAAGAUGGAGUGCAUAAAGAUUUUUUAUUUUUAUUAUUUUUUUUUUUUUUUAUUUGAGAAAAUGGAGUGCAUACAGAUCUUUGUAGAACUAGUUUCUUUUUAUUGUCCUUUGAUGUCUUGUUAUAUUAUUAUUAUUUUUUUUACAUUAAUUGUAUAAACUUUUAUGCUCUUGUAGUUCAGACUUCAAUUUUAUA